rnacentral:tRNA from 1 species
CUGGUGGCCUAAUGGUUAAGGUUCUGGCAUUGCCACUGCCAUGGUGCAGGUUCAAUCCCUAGCCCAG